GGAGGAACCGCCGGUGAUAAGCCGGAGGAAGGUGGGGAUGACGUCAAGUCCUCAUGGCCCUUACGGGAUGGGCUACACACGUGCUACAAUGGUGGUGACAGUGGGAUAAUCCCCAAAAGCCAUCUCAGUUCGGAUUGGGGUCUGCAACUCGACCCCAUGAAGUUGGAAUCGCUAGUAAUCGCGUAACAGCAUGACGCGGUGAAUACGUUCCCGGGCCUUGUACACACCGCCCGUCACACCAUGGGAAUUGGAUCUACCCGAAGGUGGUGCGCCAACCUCAGCAAUGAGGAGGCAGCCAACCACGGUAGGUUCAGUGACUGGGGUGAAGUCGUAACAAGGUAACC
rnacentral:rRNA from 1 species